rnacentral:lncRNA from 1 species
AUGCUGGUGGAAUUCUCACCCCAAACCUCCAGCUACUGGAUCUGGGGAGGGGACAGAGAAUCCCUGCUUGAUUUCCGAGCAGACGUUUGCAACCCUGGGGCGCCAGCAAAAGCAGAGGUGAAUUCUCCGCGCUCUCCCGGGAAAUCCGCAUCCACUCCCGGACGCGCAACCGAGCCGGCUCCGGGCGCGGAUUCCCGCGCCGGCUGGGGCUCCCGGGUCGCUGGCGUCCCGGCCGGGAGGCGGUGCGAGCUCCCGGGGAGGGCCCCCUCCGCCUCCAGGGCGGCGCAAGCGGGGCCUAAGGUGGGUCACCUGCCAGGGAGGAAACGGGGGGUGCCGACGCACGUGGGAGGGGCGCCGACCCCGGGGCGGUGCAGAGCUGGAGGGUGCGGAAAAAGGCGGGAGGGAGGCUGGAGUUCGGACCUAGCCUUUCCCAGCGGGGGAGAGGGCGUGGAUGGGACGUCCCAGGUUUGCGGCGCAGGCAGCGUCACCCAAUCCACAGCCAACCCCACCCUCUGGGCCGCGCGGGUCCCCUCCCUCUGGACUGAAACCCGAGGAGCCGCCACGCCGCGGGGCCUGAUGCACUUGUCCGCUGCCGGUCGGCGGGAGGCGAGAACCCGGCGAGGCCGCUCGGAGCGGGCCCGACUCGGGGCAGCACCGGAGCGGGCCGGGCAGCAGUGGGCGCUCGCGAUCCUCCUCUGCCCAACGCGCUCUCCCUCAGGGCCGGGCCUCCUCCGUCCCCUCCUCCUGCUCCUGCUCCUCCUCCCGCUCCUCCCCUCCGCGGGACUGAUCGCCGAGCCUCCCGCCUGCAAAGUCCCCGGCGCGCCGGCAGCUACCAGCCGCCGUCUCUGCUGGAUCUCCGUGGGUGCCUGCGCCCCAGCCUCGUCCGCCUGCCCCGAGGCGUCCCCCUCCCUCCCGGCUCGCUCCGCCGGCCGCCGGUGCUCCGCGGCGCUGCCCAUGGCCCAGCCCGAGAGCCGACUUCGGGCGCCGGACCGGCUGGACCGCGGCGCAGCUCAGUAACUGGCGGCCCGCGACACCCAUGUGUCACUGAUCGGGAGGCUCUCCCCGCGGCAGCGCUUCAUGACCCAGCGGCGCCCGGCCCAGUGAAGCCACCAUGGUGUCCAGCACAGCGGCGCUGCUCCUGGGCGCCGUGCUCCUGGUGGCCCAGCUGCAGCCCGUGCCUUCCCGCCCCGCCGCCGCCGCCGCCGCCGCCGCGCCCGGGGUCGAGCCGGGCCAGCCGGAGCUGUCGCGCAGAGCGGCCACCGUCCAGGGCGACGGCCGGGACGGCGCGCCCCCCAACGGCUCGGCGCAGCAGCUGCCGCAGACCAUCAUCAUCGGCGUGCGCAAGGGCGGCACGCGCGCGCUGCUGGAGAUGCUCAGCCUGCACCCCGACGUGGCGGCCGCCGAGAACGAGGUCCACUUCUUCGACUGGGAGGAGCACUACAGCCAAGGCCUGGGCUGGUACCGGGGCCAGAUGCCCUUCUCGUCUCCGCAGCAGCUCACGGUGGAGAAGACCCCCGCGUACUUCACGUCGCCCAAAGUGCCUGAGCGCGUCCACAGCAUGAACCCGGGCAUCCGGCUGCUGCUCAUCCUGCGCGACCCGUCCGAGCGCGUGCUGUCCGACUACACCCAAGUGUUCUACAACCACGUGCAGAAGCGCAAGCCCUACCCGUCCAUCGAGGAGUUCCUGGUGCGCGACGGCCGGCUCAACGUGGGCUACAAGGCGCUCAACCGCAGCCUCUACCACGUGCACCUGCACAACUGGCUGCGCUUCUUCCCGCUGCGCCGCAUCCACAUCGUCGACGGCGACCGCCUCAUCAGGGACCCCUUCCCCGAGAUCCAGAAGGUCGAGCGGUUCCUGAAGCUGUCGCCGCAGAUCAACGCCUCGAACUUCUACUUUAACAAAACCAAGGGCUUUUACUGCCUGCGGGACAGCGGCCGGGACCGAUGCUUGCACGAGUCCAAAGGCCGGGCGCACCCCCGAGUGGACCCCAGACUCCUCAGUAAACUGCACGAAUACUUUCACGAGCCAAAUAAGAAAUUCUUCGAGCUUGUCGGCCGGACAUUUGACUGGCACUGAUUAGCAAUAAAGUGAGGCUCGGAACCUUUCCCGUU